UUAGCUGGCAGCAUCGACUCUGUCGACUAAAGUUCUGGAUAUAAUUUGAGAAUGACAUUUUCUAUCCAUGUGUCUUGACCAAUUUACCUGCCUGCUGUCGCGGCAAUACCCAGAAUACUAGUGUUAUUCAUCUUUAAUGGGUUUAAAGGGUACUUAGACGGUAUAUUCAGCCAGGGUACUGAUAAACUAGAGUUUUAUGCGAGGGGGUGUGUACUAGUGGAGUAGAGAUGAAAUUCUUUCAUACCAUUAUACAGGCAACGGCGAAAGCAACCCUUUAUGUAAAAACUGACGUUGAAGGACGAAGGCUCAGUACACCAACAGGAUUAGAUACCCUAGCAGUCUGAGCAGACAAUGAUGAGUGUCAUAGGCAAGAAUUGUCUAUAAAUGAAAGUGUAAGCAUUCCACCUCAAGAGUAAUGUGGCAACGCAGAAACUGAAAUCAUUAGACCGUUUCUGAAACCAGUAGUGAAGUAUGUUGUUUAAUUUGUAGGUACGCAAAGAACCUUACCACAAUUUGUAUAUUUAUUUAUAUUAAAUACAAGAGUUGCACGGCUGUCUUCAGUUAAUGUCGUGAGAUUUUGGUUAGUUCCAUAAAAUUAACGUAAACCCUUACUUUAUUUAUAUAUGAAGUAGUUCGCCAAUAUAUUGGGUGAUAAGAGGGACUAAGACAAGCCCUCAUGGCCCGAAUAUUGUGGGCUAUAGACGUGCCACAUAUACCUACAAAGGGACGCGAAGUUGU
rnacentral:rRNA from 1 species